rnacentral:rRNA from 1 species
AACGAACGCUGGCGGCAGGCUUAACACAUGCAAGUCGAGCGCCCCGCAAGGGGAGCGGCAGACGGGUGAGUAACGCGUGGGAAUCUACCGUGCCCUACGGAAUAGCUCCGGGAAACUGGAAUUAAUACCGUAUACGCCCUACGGGGGCAAGAUUUAUCGGGGUAUGAUGAGCCCGCGUUGGAUUAGCUAGUUGGUGGGGUAAAGGCCUACCAAGGCGACGAUCCAUAGCUGGUCUGAGAGGAUGAUCAGCCACAUUGGGACUGAGACACGGCCCAAACUCCUACGGGAGGCAGCAGUGGGGAAUAUUGGACAAUGGGCGCAAGCCUGAUCCAGCCAUGCCGCGUGAGUGAUGAAGGCCUUAGGGUUGUAAAGCUCUUUCACCGGAGAAGAUAAUGACGGUAUCCGGAGAAGAAGCCCCGGCUAACUUCGUGCCAGCAGCCGCAGUAAAAC